rnacentral:lncRNA from 1 species
UAUAAUUAAAAAUGAUUUAAAGAAAUUAAAAAUUGAAAAAUAAACCUUAGUGUAAUUUGCAGAAUACUUACCAGAGCAAAUAACUUCAAUUCUCAUUGUCGAAAUUUUCUUAAUUGAAUUUAUGAGUAGUUUGGAAACUAAGGUCGGAGAAAUCGAUGGCACGUGAUAAGAUCUCUUGAAUUUAUGACAUGUGACAUACACUUUGACAUAUGACUUGUGACUUGAUCAAAUGGGGUCGUGACCAAAUCUCUUGGAUUUGUGACAUGUAACCUAAUCCAAUGGUCUAUGACCAAAUUUCUUGAAUGCAUGCCUUGUGACCUAUGCGCUUAACAUGUGACUUGAUUCAAUGGCAUGUGAACUAUUUCUUGAAUUUGUGACUAAAUCUAUUGAAUCCGUGACCUGUAAUUUAUGCACUUUGACAUAUACUCUAUUAUCUAUAAUCGUGACCUGAUCCAAUUUUAGGUGAUCAAAUCUCUUGAAUUUGUGACCUAGUGCAGUUUGACAUGUCACAGAUUUAAGAGAUUUGGUAAUAGAAACUCUAUCGGUCGGAAGUGCAAAAACUCUAUAUCCAGAACUCCAUCUACAGUUGAAACUCAAUCGGUUAGCCACAUCACCACCAUUAACCCCAUCUCAACAACUUUCUUUACUGUUGAAACUCUAAUGGUUGAGAAGGCAGCCAACCGUACCAUCAACACAAUAUGCACAACUCUAUCUAUUGUUGAAACUCAAGCGGAUGGGCAGGCAACCGAACCUACCACCAACACCAUCUCCACAACUUCACCUAUUGUAGAAACUCAAACAGUUGGGCAGGCUUGGGUUGACGUAUAGUGCCACUUGUCAAAUAUAUUAGGUCAUAUGAGAUUUCCCCGUUCUCUCCCCCAAUCGAGGUAUCCUCU